GAUGAACGCUAGCGGCAGGCUUAAUACAUGCAAGUCGAGGGGCAUCAAGGUACACGAAAGUGUAUUGUUGGCGACCGGCGGACGGGUGAGUAAUAGGUAGGUAACCUACCUCAUACUGAGGCAUAGCUGGGAGAAAUUCCAGGUAAUUCCUCAUGAGGUUAUAUGACACAUGUGAUAUAAUCAAAGGUAUCGCAAGGUACUGGUAUGAGAUGGGCUUACUGACCAUUAGCUAGUUGGUGAGAUAAGAGCUCACCAAGGCGAAGAUGGUUAGGGGUUUUGAGAGAGAGAUCCCCCACAUUGGAACUGAGAUACGGUCCAGACUCCUACGGGAGGCAGCAGUAGGGAAUAUUGGGCAAUGGGCGGAAGCCUGACCCAGCCAUGCCGCGUGAAGGAAGACGGCCUUAGUGGGUUGUAAACUUCUUUACUAUGCGACUAACUAGAUUUACGAGAUAAUUCUAUAGAAUGUAGCAUAGCAAAAAGCACCGGA
rnacentral:rRNA from 1 species